rnacentral:rRNA from 1 species
AGCGAACGCUGGCGGCAGGCUUAACACAUGCAAGUCGAACGGGCGUAGCAAUACGUCAGUGGCAGACGGGUGAGUAACGCGUGGGAACGUACCUUUUGGUUCGGAACAACCCAGGGAAACUUGGGCUAAUACCGGAUAAGCCCUUACGGGGAAAGAUUUAUCGCCGAAAGAUCGGCCCGCGUCUGAUUAGCUAGUUGGUGAGGUAACGGCUCACCAAGGCAACGAUCAGUAGCUGGUCUGAGAGGAUGA